rnacentral:antisense_RNA from 1 species
CCGCCAGCCGGUAGCGCUCGCCGUGUAAGGUCAGUUGAAACGCGGUGCGGGUACGCAGAAUGAUUUCACCGCCUUCCGGCCCCAGCGCCUGUAGCGCAUUGCGCACAAU